AGUGAGGAAUAUUGGUCAAUGGGCGGGAGCCUGAACCAGCCAAGUCGCGUGAAGGAAGAAGGAUCUAUGGUUCGUAAACUUCUUUUGCAGGGGAAUAAAGUGCAGGACGUGUCCUGUUUUGUAUGUACCCUGAGAAUAAGGAUCGGCUAACUCCGUGCCAGCAGCCGCGGUAAUACGGAGGAUCCGAGCGUUAUCCGGAUUUAUUGGGUUUAAAGGGUGCGUAGGUGGUUUGAUAAGUCAGCGGUGAAAGUUUGCAGCUUAACUGUAAAAAUGCCGUUGAAACUGUCGGACUUGAGUGUAAAUGAGGUAGGCGGAAUGCGUGGUGUAGCGGUGAAAUGCAUAGAUAUCACGCAGAACUCCGAUUGCGAAGGCAGCUUACUAAGCUACAACUGACACUGAAGCACGAAAGCGUGGGGAUCAAA
rnacentral:rRNA from 1 species